rnacentral:sRNA from 1 species
AGCUUCGGUCCGGAGUCAGUGGGUUACCUAUCUGAGUUUCUCCCAUUGACAACCUCUUGACCGGUGU